AUUGAACGCUGGCGGCAGGCCUAACACAUGCAAGUCGAACGGCAGCACAGAAGAGCUUGCUCUUUGGGUGGCGAGUGGCGGACGGGUGAGUAAUGUCUGGGAAACUGCCCGAUGGAGGGGGAUAACUACUGGAAACGGUAGCUAAUACCGCAUAACGUCGCGAGACCAAAGUGGGGGACCUUCGGGCCUCAGACCAGCGGAUGUGCCCAGAUGGGAUUAGCUAGUAGGUGGGGUAAUGGCUCACCUAGGCGACGCUCCCUAGCUGGUCUGAGAGGAUGACCCGCCACACUGGAGCUGAGACACGGUCCAGACUCCUACGGGAGGCAGCAGUGGGGAAUAUUGCACAAUGGGCGCAAGCCUGAUGCAGCCAUGCCGCGUGUAUGAAGAAGGCCUUCGGGUUGUAAAGUACUUUCAGCGGGGAGGAAGGCGGUGAGGUUAAUAACCUUGCCGAUUGACGUUACCCGCAGAAGAAGCACCGGCUAACUCCGUGCCAGCCGCCGCCGUAA
rnacentral:rRNA from 1 species